AGGGCUGCCUGCGGCCGUGACCCUGCUGGAGUGCGGGGGGGACCUCCAGCCCCCCGGGGGGUCCCUGCGCCUCCUCUGCCGAGCAUCUGGAUUCGAUUUUGGGAGUUUUGGAAUGUUCUGGAUCCAACAGAAAUCUUGGAAAACGCUGGAAUACGUUGCGAGUAUCAACAGCGGUGACAGCACCCACUACGCGCCGUCGGUGCAGGGUCGGUUCACGAUCUCCAGGGACAACGGGCAGAGCUCGGUGACGCUGACCAUGACCGACCUGCGGGACGAGGAUUCCGGAUCCUAUUUCUGUGCCAAAGCUCCUGAUUCUGGUGUUUUUGCUGUUGCUCUUCCUGCUGGUGGUGACGCCGGUGGUGCUGGCCAUGGCAUUUCUGGCCCCGCCCCCAUCCCUGCGUCCCCACCUGUCCCCAAACCCCGGGUCCUCCCCCCAGUCCCACCUGAAUUCGUGUCCCCAGCCCCGGGCCCAGCGCUGACCUUCAGUGCAGGCUCUGGGCAGGAUCGACGGCCGAGGAUCGUGAACCGGCCCUUGACCGAAUCCGCGUAG